GUUAUAUGGUCAAGUGAAUAAGUGCAUACGGUGGAUGCCUUGGCAGCUAGAGGCGAUGAAGGACGUUGUAGCCUGCGAAAAGCCUCGGGGAGCUGGCAAACAAGCUGUGAUCCGAGGAUGUCCGAAUGGGGAAACCCACCUGCCACAGGCAGGUAUCCUGCACUGAAUUCAUAGGUGUAGGAGGCGAACCCGGGGAACUGAAACAUCUAAGUACCCGGAGGAAAAGAAAUCAACCGAGAUUCCCUGAGUAGUGGCGAGCGAAAGGGGAGCAGCCCUUAAGCAUGGGGAUGAGUAGAAGAACUGUCUGGAAAGUCAGGCCAUAGUGGGUGAUAGCCCCGUAUUCGAAACUCUACCUCAUGUGAAAACGAGUAGGUCGGGACACGUGUUAUCUUGACUGAAGAUGGGGGGACCAUCCUCCAAGGCUAAAUACUCCUAGCUGACCGAUAGUGAACCAGUACCGUGAGGGAAAGGCGAAAAGAACCCCGGAGAGGGGAGUGAAAUAGAACCUGAAACCGUAUGCAUACAAGCAGUGGGAGCACCUUAGGGUGUGACUGCGUACCUUUUGUAUAAUGGGUCAGCGACUUACUUUCAGUAGCAAGGUUAACCGAUUAGGGGAGCCGUAGAGAAAUCGAGUCUUAAUAGGGCGUUGAGUUGCUGGGAGUAGACCCGAAACCGAGCGAUCUAUCCAUGGGCAGGGUGAAGGUUAGGUAACACUGACUGGAGGCCCGAACCGACUGUCGUUGAAAAGCCAGCGGAUGACCUGUGGAUCGGAGUGAAAGGCUAAUCAAGCUCGGAGAUAGCUGGUUCUCCUCGAAAGCUAUUUAGGUAGCGCCUCGCAAUAGACUCCUGGGGGUAGAGCACUGUUUGGGCUAGGGGGCCAUCUCGGCUUACCAACCCCAUGCAAACUCCGAAUACCAGGAAGUUGUUUUGCGGGAGACACACGGCGGGUGCUAACGUCCGUCGUGGAAAGGGAAACAACCCAGACCGCCAGCUAAGGUCCCCAAGUUCUAGUUAAGUGGGAAACGAUGUGGGAAGGCUUAGACAGCCAGGAGGUUGGCUUAGAAGCAGCCAUCCUUUAAAGAAAGCGUAAUAGCUCACUGGUCGAGUCGGCCUGCGCGGAAGAUGUAACGGGGCUAAAACUAGACACCGAAGCUGCGGGUUCAUACGAAGUAUGAGCGGUAGAGGAGCGUUCUGUAAGCUGUUGAAGGUGAACUGAGAGGUUUGCUGGAGGUAUCAGAAGUGCGAAUGCUGACAUGAGUAACGAUAAAGGGAGUGAAAAACUCCCUCGCCGAAAGACCAAGGGUUCCUGUCCAACGUUAAUCGGGGCAGGGUGAGUCGACCCCUAAGGCGAGGCCGAGAGGCGUAGUCGAUGGGAAACAGGUUAAUAUUCCUGUACCAGUUAUAACUGCGAUGGAGAGACGGAGAAGGCUAGGCAUACCGGGCGUUGGUUGUCCCGGGGAAAGUGAGUAGGCUGAGAACUUAGGCAAAUCCGGGUUCUUAAGGCUGAGACACGAGACCACUGCCCAAUGUGGCGGGAAGUUGUCGAUGCCCUGCUUCCAGGAAAUACCUUCUAAGCUUCAGGUUAUAAGUGAUCGUACCCCAAACCGACACAGGUGGUCUGGUAGAGAAUACCAAGGCGCUUGAGAGAACUCGGGUGAAGGAACUAGGCAAAAUAGUACCGUAACUUCGGGAGAAGGUACGCUGCUGACGGUGAAGGACUUGCUCCGUAAGCUGUUGGCAGUCUCAGUGACCAGGUGGCUGCGACUGUUUAUUAAAAACAUAGCACUCUGCAAACUCGAAAGAGGACGUAUAGGGUGUGACGCCUGCCCGGUGCCGGAAGGUUAAUUGAUGGGGUUAGCGUAUGCGAAGCUCUUGAUCGAAGCCCCGGUAAACGGCGGCCGUAACUAUAACGGUCCUAAGGUAGCGAAAUUCCUUGUCGGGUAAGUUCCGACCUGCACGAAU
rnacentral:rRNA from 1 species